GUGGGGUUCCCGAGCGGCCAAAGGGAGCAGACUGUAAAUCUGCCGUCAUCGACUUCGAAGGUUCGAAUCCUUCCCCCACCACCA
rnacentral:tRNA from 10 species